AUGUUACCUUUCUAGUCUCCAUUAUCACUCUUUGCUGAUAUUACCUUUGACAUCUAUGUUAUGGCUCCAUGCUGAUGUUACCAUUCUAGUCUCCAUUAUUUCUCCAUGCUGAUGUUACCUUUCAGGUCUUUGCUAUUGCUCGAUUCUGAUGUUACCAUUGUGGUCUUCAUUAUCACUCCUUGCUAAUAUUUCCUUUGACAUCUAUGUUUUGUCUCCAUGCUGAUGGCACCAUUCAGGUCUUUGUUAUGGCUUCCUGCUGAUGGCACCAUUCAGGUCUUUGUUAUGGCUUCCUGCUGAUGGCACCAUUCAGGUCUUUGUUAUGGCUUCCUGCUGAUGUUACCAUUCAGGUCUUUGUUAUGGCUUCCUGCUGAUGUUACCAUUCAGGUCUUUGUUAUGGCUUCCUGCUGAUGGCACCAUUCAGGUCUUUGUUAUGGCUUCCUGCUGAUGGUACCAUUCAGGUCUUUGUUAUGGCUUCCUGCUGAUGGCACCAUUCAGGUCUUUGUUAUGGCUUCCUGCUGAUGGUACCAUUCAGGUCUUUGUUAUGGCUUCCUGCUGAUGGUACCAUUCAGGUCUUUGUUAUGGCUUCCUGCUGAUGGUACCAUUCAGGUCUUUGUUGUCACCCCAUGAAUGUUACCAUUGUGGUGUUGAUUUUGACCACAUUGUAAUUUUACCAUGAAGAGGUUUCAGUAUAGCUAAUUGCUGAUGUUUAAUGUUGAGUGAAAGACAUUGCAUACGUUACAUUUUGGACACAACAUUUCUGGAGAUGUUUUCUUCUUUGUUUUUAUUUGACUCAGAGACGUUAGUUGACACUUCACUGUGUCACAAACUUUACCAUUCCUGUACUGUUAAAAGCUUGAUGAAAUCAUAUAUAAUAUGGCCGAUUACUUAACUGGAACUUCAUCUAAGCUGCUCAUAAAUGUUUUGUUAUAUUUUAAUAAUUUUACACACAACAUUUAAUCCAAUUGUCUUUCAGUAUCUUGAGGCUUCCAUGCAAUUGCUUCAUUUGUAUUUUCUCCUGAAUAAAUUUGAAUACAAGUAA